rnacentral:misc_RNA from 1 species
ACAAAUCAAAUUGUGGUGUUGGUGGAUCAUUGAUUUAUUCUUUGGUGUAUGGUGUUGAGUUCAGCACCAUGUAUCCACAGAGCAUAACAUCAAGCACACCCCAACACCUAACAUUUGUGCUCCAGGCAUUUCGUCUGGGUGCAAUUAUAUAUCAUAUAUAUAUUCAUUAUUGUCAGUUGUUUGUCUAUUUUAAAUUUAUAAUC